CUAAGGAGUUGUUUCUUUCAUGCAGAUCCUCAUCCUGGAAAUAUUCUGAUCAGCCGAGGUUCUCAGGCAAGCGCAUAUCCAAUACUUUCUACCUUAGCAUUUUGCUACUAUCUUCUUAGUUUAUCUGUUAAUACACUAGUUUUCAUGUAUGACCAUUUCAAUUCUCUUGAGGACAUAGUACUAUGUUAAUGGUGUAUUAGGUUGCAUUUCUUGAUUAUGGGCAAGUGAAGGAUCUCCCUGACAAACUGAGGCUAGGAUAUGCUAAUCUCGUUCUCGCUAUUGCAGAUAAGGUUCUACAGUUUGGGAUCUUGUUGUCUAUUGAUACAGCCGUUAUAUAUAUUUAUGCCAGCCUUUUCAACUGGUUUAGAUAAUCUAAAUUUUGACAUGACGAGCUGAUGAGCUAACUUUUGAGGAAAGAUCUCUUUUAACUUUUUACAUUAUGUGAUACCAUGAAAGUCAUGUGUCCAGAAAAGAAAAGAAAAGGUUUGACUGAACAACAAUGAGGCGCCAAUGCUAUGUGAAUUUGGCAAAUUUUCCCCCCAGGGAUGGGGGUAAUCGGCAUUUAAAUAAAUAAUCCUUACAUGGAAAAGUGAAAUCUAACUUUGAACAAAACACCUUUAUGCAGAGAUUAAUAUAGGUCAACAGAAGUGAGCAUUUAUUCACUAUAGUAGGAGUAUUACAUUGAUCUUUGAAGUGCCAAAAUUUUGAAGUGCAAAAUUAUGCCAGUAAGCAUAUACAUAUUUCUUAUGUAUUUGACAUUCUCUCUUUGUAACUUUAGGGAGCUUGUGUUAAUGCUAGUUGAUACUUUUGCUGUACAAAGAUAGUGUAUUUCGUAGUACUUGUUUGGAGUAUAUUUUAAUGUAUUUGUGUAUUGAAAAAUCUGUCAAAGUAUAGCCAUAUGUAAUGCCAUAUAAUCUGUCUAAAAGUAUGGCAAUGGCAGGUAGGUAGUAGUUGAUGAAAAUGGUCAGAACACUUUUGCUAUAUAUUUUCUAAUGUACCAG
rnacentral:lncRNA from 1 species